ACUAGUGUGGCCUAGUGGAUAGGGUGAUUGACUGGAUAGGGUGAUCGCUGGUUCGAUCCCCAGCUCCACUAGGA